AACGAACGCUGGCGGCAUGCCUAACACAUGCAAGUCGAACGAGACCUUCGGGUCUAGUGGCGCACGGGUGCGUAACGCGUGGGAAUCUACCCUUGGGUUCGGAAUAACUCAGAGAAAUUUGAGCUAAUACCGGAUGAUGUCGAAAGACCAAAGAUUUAUCGCCCAAGGAUGAGCCCGCGUAGGAUUAGCUAGUUGGUGAGGUAAAGGCUCACCAAGGCAACGAUCCUUAGCUGGUCUGAGAGGAUGAUCAGCCACACUGGGACUGAGACACGGCCCAGACUCCUGCGGGAGGCAGCAGUGGGGAAUAUUGGACAAUGGGCGAAAGCCUGAUCCAGCAAUGCCGCGUGAGUGAUGAAGGCCUUAGGGUUGUAAAGCUCUUUUACCCGGGAUGAUAAUGACAGUACCGGGAGAAUAAGCCCCGGCUAACUCCGUG
rnacentral:rRNA from 1 species